rnacentral:lncRNA from 1 species
AACUUGAGAAUGUUAAGCACAAGUGUGUCAAAUAUAAUAUCUUUUGACUGAAUCAGCAUUGAUAGCUUUUCCUGUCAUUUUUCUGUCCAGAUCCGCAAGUUGCAAAGCUCUAUUUGAUAAUACUUGUCUAACUAUGUAUGGACCUUGCCAGUUUGGAGCAAACUUUCCUUUAGCCUCUUCUUGGUGUGGAAGGAUGCAUUUUACCACAAGUUGGCCGGCCUCGAAUUUUCUAGGACGUACCUUCUUAUUGUAAGCUCGCGCCAUCCUCUUCUGGUAUAAUUGACCAAAUCAAACUUCCGUCAACCUUUUUUCAUCUAUUAACGAUAAUUGUUCUAGU